GACCUACGGGGGGCAGCAGUGAGGAAUAUUGGUCAAUGGGCGGGAGCCUGAACCAGCCAAGUCGCGUGAGGGAAGACGGUCCUAUGGAUUGUAAACCUCUUUUGUCGGGGAGCAAAGAGACCACGUGUGGUCAAAGGCGAGAGUACCCGAAGAAAAAGCAUCGGCUAACUCCGUGCCAGCAGCCGCGGUAAUACGGGGGAUGCGAGCGUUAUCCGGAUUUAUUGGGUUUAAAGGGUGCGUAGGCGGGACGGUAAGUCAGCGGUAAAAAUGCGGGGCUCAAAUCCGUCGAGCGUGUGGAACUGUCG
rnacentral:rRNA from 1 species